AUGUCUGUUUCGCUCCGUCGAUGCUUCAAUCGUAGUGAAGAUGAAUCGAAACCCACGUAUGUUGGUUCAACUCAGGAUUUAAGUAGUCAGAUCCCCCUGCAGAAUCGUGAAGCCCUCCCUGAUAAAUCUGCUUUGAUUUCCGAAUUGGUUUCGGAUGGCUGCCAAUUGUAUGCAGCACGCAGGCUUGACGUUAAGGGUGAGAACCAAAUUGCAAAGUUACCUUGA